rnacentral:rRNA from 1 species
GGGAAUUGUUCGCAAUGGGCGCAAGCCUGACGACGCAACGCCGCGUGGAGGAUGAAGGUCUUCGGAUUGUAAACUCCUGUUGCCCGGGACGAAUGGCUUCGACCUAAUACGUCGUAGAGUGACGGUACCGGGUGAGCACGCCCCGGCUAACUCUGUGCCAGCAGCCGCGGUAAUACAGAGGGGGCAAGCGUUGUUCGGAAUUACUGGGCGUAAGGGGCGCGUAGGCGGCCUGCUAAGUCGAACGUGAAAUCCCCGGGCUCAACCCGGGAACUGCGUCCGAUACUGGUAGGCUUGAAUCCGGGAGAGGGAUGCGGAAUUCCAGGUGUAGCGGUGAAAUGCGUAGAUAUCUGGAGGAACACCGGUGGCGAAGGCGGCAUCCUGGACCGGUAUUGACGCUGAGGCGCGAAAGCCAGGGGAGCAAAC